CCGGGACUGUCUCAUCAGCAGAAAGCUCCCUUGCCACAGGACACCUUAAACCCCCAGAAAUAAAACCAUUCUCAGACAGAGAAGGCCAGAGGGUUCACUAGGCGCUCCUCUGCUGACCCCGACCCCCCACCCCCAGCCUCGCCCUCUCCCCGCAGCGGGGCCCAGGGGACAGGGCCUGAACCACGGCUGAAGGCCUGACACUCGACACUCGGGGCAGGCCAGGCUCCCCCAGCUCGGCCUCCCGGAAGCGAUGCAGAGAGGCUGAUAAGGGGGCUGGCCAGGGCUGGGGGCAACCACAGGGCAGGAAGAGUCAGCCGCGGCUGAGGCCCACAGCCCCUCCCGGCACGGCCCCCCGAGAGGAGGCAGCCCCUCACCUGCGGUCGUGCUGCUGUACAGUUCAUUUUCCUCCAUGCGGGGCCGGCUGCCCUUCCCCGCUGGCCCCGGCAGCUCCUUCCUCUGGCCCUGAGGAAGAGGCCAGGGUCUCAAGACCGCCUCCGAUGCCAAGCCCACGGCCAGCCCAGGCCUCCCUCCCGCGCACUCAGCCUGCUGUCUCUGCAUUCUGCACUGGGGCUCCCCCCGCCCCCAGCAACUGCCCCCAGCACCCUGACCUCGGCUCUUAUCACACCCGUCUGCAAGCACAGACUGCCCCCCAAUGCCAUGCCCCCUCCUCCCCGCCCCCCCGGGGGGCGCUCACGGAGAAGGCCAAGAGGCAGAUGGCCUGGACCCAGUCGCUGCGCUCCGCAGCAGGGGCCGCCAGCAGGUACGGACGCUCCUUGGUCUCCAGGAAGAAGGCGCUGGUGUCCCGGGGGCUGCUGGCCUCCCCGCCGGCCUCGGUCACGCGUAGGCAGUCACUGAGGCGGAUCACCUUCCUGGCGGCCUCUCCCCGCCGCGGCUUCUCCGAGGCCUCCUGGAGCUCCAGCCGGGCCAAGGCGCAGUCUGACUCUCCAUACAGCGUAGCCCCGAAACGGCGCCAUUUCUGAAUCCAGAUGCGUGGCAGGUUGGGUCAUGAGAGAGACAGAGAAGCCCUGGCGUGGCUCAGCUGAGGGAAAGAGGACUUCCUCAAUCAAGGAAGGACUUGUGGGAUCCCUGCAGUGGAAGUUCUAACUCCAGUACCUUCUGUCUGGCCACAGGCGAACCCUGUGGUAGCCCACAGUCGGUAUAAACUUCAAACGACCAACAGUCUCAGAAUCCAGAGAAGAUUUAAUCUGGGGGCCUUGACUGGAAGCAAGAGUGAAAUCCAAUGGAACACAGAAACCAGCAUUAUCUAACACUGAUAAUUCCUAGCGGAAAAGAUUGGAAUCGGCCUCAGCGGGAAAGAGACUGACCUGAUCUGACCCAGGAGGUUGGCCCUCCCAGUCAGACUGAGCCCAGGGGUCCUAAACACCCUUUAUCUCACCCUACCGCCACCGCCACCACCUCUUCCCAGCAUCUGACCCCUCUCAGGAGGCAGCCUAGAGGGCUGGUUAAGAUAACAAUCUACUUGCGAACAUUGCAACUGUGCCUUCUGCGUGUUUCCAUUGUCACCACUAUUUGGCGGCAAUUAGCAUGAACGUUUCUGGAGGAGAAAAAGGACAGAGGUGAAAAGAGGGGAGAUCACUAUCCGGGUUGCUGGUAAAACGCAGGAUCCGAGGGCAAUGGCCCUGAUCCCCUGGAGCAGAAAACUAGAAAGACAAACAUAAAUUCGGUCGACGUCGAAUUGGAAAUUCAUUGGAAAGUAAAUAAUAA